rnacentral:snRNA from 1 species
UUAGCUCUCUUUGCCUUUUGGCUUAGAUCAAGUGUAGUAUCUGUUCUUUUCAGUUUAAUCUCUGAAACGUCACUACGGUGAAAUUCAAGAUUAUUCUUAUUUUUGCACCCCGCUGACGGGUCCCUGGGCUUGCUCACACUCGUCGGCACAGUGUCGCUUCUAUCCGCACUUCUUGAAGCCGACGCGAAUGGUA